GUUUGGGAUCGGCUUUGGGUUUGUGCGCACUUCUGAUUUUCUGUCUCACUUAUUUCAUACUGAGGAGAAGAAAACCUAAAACCUCUAGAUCUAACACUGCUGUAGAAGAUUCUCCUGGAAUUAGUCAGGAAUCUGAAGCUGAAUCACUGAGUUAUGCGGCUUUGCAAUUCUCCAAGAGGAAAACCAAAGCUGAAAAGA